AUGUACAUCUUGGUCAAGAACCCCGCGGAUAGGAUGAUCCGCCUUAGGGUCAGGCCAUUACAUACCUUGGGUGAUGUCAAGACAAUGAUCCAGCAGCGCCAUUUCCUCGUCUCCAACGGGGUGCAGCUAGACGAUAACUGUACGCUGGCUGAUUACAACAUCCAGCAUGAAUCCACGCUCGAGCUCCAAGAGAAGAUGCAUAUCUGCGUGACGGAGACACUGAUGAACAGGACCAUCCCGCUCGAUGUCGACAGCCUAGACACCAUCGACGACGUGAAGGCCAACAUAUAUGGCCUCCAGGGCUUCCCCAGUGCUCAGCAGUGCCUCAUCUUCGCCGGCAAGCGUCUCGAAGAGGGGAACCGCACCUUGGCUGAUCAUAACAUCGUCAUGGAGUCCACGAUUCUCCUUGUUCUCCUCCCUUGUAUAUCGAGAGGAGACAUGAUGCAGAUCCAUACAAAGUCGUUAUCAGGAAAGACCAUCUCUCUUGAGGUUGGGAGUUUGGAUACCGUCGAGAGUGUCAUGGUGAAGUUGUAUGAGAAGAACUUCGCCUCUUAUCCAAGCCAGCAGCGCCUCAUCUUUGCAGGCAAGACGCUGGAAAUAAGGCGAACCCUAGCGUACUACAACAUUUGUAGUGAUUCUACCCUUCGUUGCGUGCCCUGCCUUUGCGGUUGUUGA
rnacentral:rRNA from 1 species